rnacentral:rRNA from 1 species
ACAGUCACACAUUAGAUACCCGCGUAGUCCUAGCCGUAAACGAUACUCGCUAGGUGUCGGCCACGGUGCGACCGUUGUCGGUGCCGUAGGGAAGCCGUGAAGCGAGCCACCUGGGAAGUACGGCCGCAAGGCUGAAACUUAAAGGAAUUGGCGGGGAGCACAACAACGGGUGGAGCUUGCGGUUUAAUUGGAUUCAACGCCGGAAAUCUUACCGGGACCGACAGCAACAUGAAGGCCAAGCUGAAGACUUUGCCGGAUUAGCUA